UACGGAGGGUGCAAGCGUUAUCCGGAUUUAUUGGGCGUAAAGGGUGCGUAGGCGGCGGAGUAAGUUGGGUGUGAAAUCCCGGGGCUUAACCUCGGAAUGGCAUUCAAUACUGCUUCGCUUGAGUACUGGAGAGGAGGCUGGAAUUUACGGUGUAGCAGUGAAAUGCGUAGAUAUCGUAAGGAAGGCCGGUGGCGAAAGCGAGCCUCUGGACAGUUACUGACGCUGAUGCACGAAGGCCAGGGGAGCAAACGGG
rnacentral:rRNA from 1 species